CACGCCCAGAGUUGUUUGUUUGCCUCGGCUCCCCACCCGUCCGGCUCUAACCCUAGUCUACCCCAGGGAGGAAAUCGCGGAGACGAGGCCGGCAAAGUAGAUUUGGCCAAACUGUGGAGGGCAUCGGACUUUGGGCACUGCAGUAGGUGGACAGACCCAGCCCUGCAAAAGCCACAUUUUCCGCGCGCUCUGCAGGACGCCUCUCAGAGCGCUGAGUCCAGGCUACCUUCAGGAGAGCAGGUGGAGCCGAUGAGGGCAGGUUCGGGGGCGAGCGAGCAGCGCCACCCUCUCCCCGGUUUUCUUCCUCAGACCUCCUUGACAGCCACAAAGUUUCUGGUGUUGACACACUGGCAGGACUUCCCUUGCAUGGGGCAGGCCACCCUGGAGUCAAGGCCUGCGCUUCUGAGAUGAAGCUCUGGGAUUCCAGGAAGGGGGCUCCCUACCUCCUCAGCUGGAAGUGGCUCCUGAGUGCCCACCACAGGAGGAAUUCCCUACAAAUCAUCUGAAUCUUGCCUCUUUCUUCAGCUACUGAUUUUGUCCUUUUUCUGACCAAGAAGAGCAUGUCUUCUUUUCUGCCCCUUGACUGGAGCUGAGAUCGGCACAGCGGGUUUGGCCUCACAGCCUGUCUCAGGCCCUCUGAGGAAUCACGUCCAGCCCAAGGCAGACGCAUGGAGAGGGAAGGGCGGGGUGGGGGUGGGGGGGCACACCACAGGAAGCACAGGGCAUUUUCUCCAAACUCUCUCUCUCUCCCUUCCCUGGGCCUCAUUCUAACCUCCAAGUUCCCAGUUUCCCUUCUCUCCCUCACCUCAUAAGCAAAGCUGAUUUCCCUCUGGCUCUGUUCCCACCACUAACAAAGCUAGGAAUUUCUUGGCUCGGGAGCAAAGGCCUUGAGGAUCCAGGCUCUUUGGAGCCUGAUCUCUAGUGGAUCUAGGCUGACUCUAUAAGAACUGUGGUGGCUUUGGUGGCCCACAAGGUUGACCAACAUUUAGCUUCCCAUUCGUCUCCGGGGCUGGCUCCCCUCUGCACAAGCAGUCUCUGGAACUGGCACGUCUGCU
rnacentral:lncRNA from 1 species